rnacentral:rRNA from 1 species
GGGGGCCUACGGGAGGCAGCAGUGGGGAAUUUUGGACAAUGGGCGCAAGCCUGAUCCAGCAAUGCCGCGUGAGUGAAGAAGGCCUUCGGGUUGUAAAGCUCUUUUGUCAGGGAAGAAACGGCUCAGGCUAAUAUCCUGGGCUAAUGACGGUACCUGAAGAAUAAGCACCGGCUAACUACGUGCCAGCAGCCGCGGUAAUACGUAGGGUGCAAGCGUUAAUCGGAAUUACUGGGCGUAAAGCGUGCGCAGGCGGUUUUGUAAGUCUGACGUGAAAGCCCCGGGCUCAACCUGGGAAUUGCGUUGGAGACUGCAAGGCUUGAAUCUGGCAGAGGGGGGUAGAAUUCCACGUGUAGCAGUGAAAUGCGUAGAGAUGUGGAGGAACACCGAUGGCGAAGGCAGCCCCCUGGGUCAAGAUUGACGCUCAUGCACGAAAGCGUGGGGAGCAAACAGGAUUAGAUACCCUGGUAGUCCACGCCCUAAACGAUGUCUACUAGUUGUCGGGUUUUAAUUAACUUGGUAACGCAGCUAACGCGUGAAGUAGACCGCCGUC